rnacentral:lncRNA from 1 species
AGCUCAGGGCUAAUCUUCCUCACGGAAAAAAAAAAAAGUCCAAGAUUAAAAAUGAAUAGUUUUCACAGUGGAAGGGCCUAGCCAGCCAGAUGAAUAAAGAUUGACACCAAUGUAUGUGAUAAUGAAUGUUCAGAGCACCAAAGAUAAACCGAAGUAUAUAAAGGGUUCAGAGAGAAACAAACCAACUAAAAAUCAACAAAUAAUAAAAAUAGCAUCAUCGAAAAGGAUAAGGGGUAAAAAUGCCAUUGAGCAUCUUGAUAGUAAUGCUAGAAGUCAGAAGCAAUGUGAACAAGGUCUUCAAAAUUGUGAAAGAAAAUUAUUUUUAGCUAGAAUUCUAUCUUGAGUCAAAUUCUAAAUCUAAAAUGAGGGUAGAAUAAAGCCAUAUUCAGAUAUGCAGCAUUUUAAUAAAUUGAUCUUCCAUCCAUUUAUACUGGAAAGCCACUGGGAAAUGUUACAUACCAAAUGUGCUGUAAAUAAGAAAAAAAAAGGACAUAAAUAUCAUGAAACAAUGGAAAUUUGUGAGAGCCAGGAAAUAUUUAAAGAAGGGGCUUUAGAGAAUUCCAUGGAUUAAGGGGUGUGCCAAGAUGCUUGAUGUACAGAAGACAGAGUGGGCAAACAUUCCAAACUCAGAAGGACAGAGGGUUCCACAGCGGAUGCAGAGGCAACAGAGGUAGGGAGAGGGCCAAUGGCUGAUGAUGAUGCGAUGUGCUCAACCCAUGCUGAAGUUUCAGAGCUGCGUUGGUAUCUCAUCAUCCAGGACCUGUCCACAUGGACCUCUCCAUUUACAGAGUAGUCUGGAUUUCCUGCAUGACGUUUCAAAGCUCCAAGAGUGAAGAAAAGGAAGCUACUUUAAUGCUUUCCUUAAUGCCUGGACUCAGAACUUCUAAAACACCACUUCUUCUGCAUUCUAUUUGUCCAGUUAGUCACAAUUCUAGCCUGGAUUAAAGUGGAAAGAUAUAUGUUCCACCUCCUGUAUCACUGGCAAACUGCAGGGGGCAGAAGUUUUGAGACUCUCCACCCUCUGGCUGUAAUAAUUUAUUUCCUUUCAUGCACCGAAAAAUACCCAUUCCCUUACUAGACUCCCAAAAGUAUCACCCCUUUACAUUAUCAGCUUGAAUUGUACCAUUCUCUGCUCUAAAUCAGGACCAUUGCGGAUGAGCCUCCUCUGGUGUGAUUUCUCAGGUUCAUCUCCUUGGAAAUUACUCCUUUUGAGCUGAGGACCUUUGAAAUAGAGACAAGUUUUCUGUACUCCAUUAACCCAACAUACAAUAGUGAUCAAGGACAGAGAAUCUGUAGUUGGUUCUCAUUCAAAUAAGGGGAAGAGAGGAAUAAAU